rnacentral:rRNA from 1 species
AACUAACCAGGAUUCCCCUAGUAACGGCGAGUGAAGAGGGAAGAGCCCAGCACCGAAGCCUGCGGCAGUUUUGCUGUUAGGCAAUGUGGUGUUUGGGUCGGCUCGUGGGACCGCCACUCCACUCGAAGUCCAGCAUUGAGUAUGGUUUCUGGAUUUGGCCCAGAGAGGGUGAAAGGCCCGUACGGGUGGAGUAUCAGACAUGUGAGGUGGUUCACCAGGCCGGCCUUAGAGUCGGGUUGUUUGGGAAUGCAGCCCAAAGCGGGUGGUAAACUCCAUCCAAGGCUAAAUACUAGCACGAGUCCGAUAGCGAACAAGUACCGUGAGGGAAAGUUGAAAAGUACUCUGAAGAGAGAGUAAACAGUACGUGAAACCGCAUGCAGGUAAACGGGUGGCGUCAAGCUGCAGGCCCAGAGAAUUCAGUCGGCCAGGAUGUUGUGUAUGCGCCUGGCGCAUCUAUCAGUCGGAGUAUGAUUGGAUGGUCCACCAGUAAACGGUGGGUCUGGCCGUGAGGUCAGAAUAUGUGUACCGGGUGGGUGCCGGAGCAUGCUAUCCGUCUGUGGACUGUCUGGCCGGUGCACUUUCUCUGUGGUCAACACCACGACCGGUGGUAUUGCCAGUCUGCUGUGUCCAAGUUGCAUUUGGUGGGUCCUCGUGGCUUACUGGGUGUGAUCACAGGCGAAGUCAGUUAACGGCGUAGAGGUGUUUCGGCACUUUUGCGUGUUAUCGGCAACUGUUUGUGAACGGGCCUGUUCAGUGUUUGUUGUAACCGACGCUGGGUGGUCCGGUGGGGCAUGGUGGUAAGAAUAACUGUGCAAGGCACCGGGGUUAUCGGCCUCAAAUGCGCCCUGCGCCCACGUUACAAGUGGUAUUUAAUAUCGGCGGUGUCGUUGCUGCCUGCCCGGUGCUGGGUGUGAUUGGCGUGUUGCCUGCUCAAAGUGGUAGGCCCGCCAGUGGCUCGGCUCGGGAUGGGUNGUUGGCGGUGCUGUCGGUGUGGGGCGUUGUGGGCCAAAUAGU